AUUUAUUAGAUAAAAAACCAAUGCCCUUCGGGGCUCCUUGGUGAUUCAUAAUAACUAAACGAAUCGCAUGGCCUUGCGCCGGCGAUGGUUCAUUCAAAUUUCUGCCCUAUCAACUUUCGAUGGUAGAGUAGUGGUCUACCAUGGUCUCAACGGGUAACGGGGAAUUAGGGUUCUAUUCCGGAGAGGGAGCCUGAGAAACGGCUACCACAUCCAAGGAAGGCAGCAGGCGCGCAAAUUACCCAAUCCCAAUUCGGGGAGGUAGUGACAAUAAAUACUGAUACAGGGCUCUUUUGGGUCUUGUAAUUGGAAUGAGUACAAUCUAAAUCCCUUAACGAGGAACAAUUGGAGGGCAAGUCUGGUGCCAGCAGCCGCGGUAAUUCCAGCUCCAAUAGCGUAUAUUAAAGUUGUUGCCGUUAAAAAGCUCGUAGUUGAACCUUGGGCCUGGCUGAUCUGUCCUCCUAAUCGAGCGCACGGAUUCGGUCGGGCCUUUCCUUCUGGGGAGCCGCAUGCCCUUCACUGGGCGUGUCGGGGAACCAGGACUUUUAC
rnacentral:rRNA from 1 species